GAUGAACGCUGGCGGCGUGCCUAAUACAUGCAAGUCGAGCGAACAGAUGAGGAGCUUGCUCCUCUGACGUUAGCGGCGGACGGGUGAGUAACACGUGGAUAACCUACCUAUAAGACUGGGAUAACUUCGGGAAACCGGAGCUAAUACCGGAUAAUAUAUUGAACCGCAUGGGUCAAUGGUGAAAGACGGUUUUGCUGUCACUUAUAGAUGGAUCCGCGCCGCAUUAGCUAGUUGGUAAGGUAACGGCUUACCAAGGCAACGAUGCGUAGCCGACCUGAUAGGGUGAUCGGCCACACUGGAACUGAGACACGGUCCAGACUCCUACGGGAGGGAGCAGUAGGGAAUCUUCCGCAAUGGGCGAAAGCCUGACGGAGCAACGCCGCGUGAGUGAUGAAGGUCUUCGGAUCGUAAAACUCUGUUAUUAGGGAAGAACAAAUGUGUAAGUAACUAUGCACGUCUUGACGGUACCGAAUCAGAAAGCCACGGCUAACUACGUG
rnacentral:rRNA from 1 species